GGGAUGAACGCUGGCGGCGUGCUUAACACAUGCAAGUCGAACGAUGAAGGCUGGAGCUUGCUCUGGCUGGAUUAGUGGCGAACGGGUGAGUAACACGUGAGUAACCUGCCCCAGACUCUGGGAUAAGCGCUGGAAACGGCGUCUAAUACCGGAUACGAGCCUCCCACCGCAUGGUGAGGAGCUAGGAAAGUAAUUUUCGGUCUGGGAUGGACUCGCGGCCUAUCAGCUUGUUGGUGAGGUAAUGGCUCACCAAGGCGACGGACGGGUAGCCGGCCGUGAGAGGGUCGACCGGCCACACUGGGACUGAGACGACGGCCCAGACUCCGUACGGGAGGCAGCAGGUGGGAAUAUUGCACGAAGUGGGCGACAAGCCUGAUGCAGCAACGCCGCGUGGAGGACGAGGUCCGUU
rnacentral:rRNA from 1 species